rnacentral:rRNA from 1 species
AUUGAACGCUAGCGGGAUGCUUUACACAUGCAAGUCGAACGGCAGCGCGGACUUCGGUCUGGCGGCGAGUGGCGAACGGGUGAGUAAUGUAUCGGAACGUGCCCAGUAGCGGGGGAUAACUACGCGAAAGCGUAGCUAAUACCGCAUACGCCCUACGGGGGAAAGCAGGGGAUCGUAAGACCUUGCACUAUUGGAGCGGCCGAUGUCGGAUUAGCUAGUUGGUGAGGUAACGGCUCACCAAGGCGACGAGCCGUAGCUGGUUUGAGAGGACGACCAGCCACACUGGGACUGAGACACGGCCCAGACUCCUACGGGAGGCAGCAGUGGGGAAUUUUGGACAAUGGGGGCAACCCUGAUCCAGCCAUCCCGCGUGUGCGAUGAAGGCCUUCGGGUUGUAAAGCACUUUUGGCAGGAAAGAAACGUCGCGGGCUAAUACCCCGUGGAACUGACGGUACCUGCAGAAUAAGCACCGGCUAACUACGUG